GACGAACGCUGGCGGCGUGCUUAACACAUGCAAGUCGAACGGAAAGGCCCUGCUUUUGUGGGGUGCUCGAGUGGCGAACGGGUGAGUAACACGUGAGUAACCUGCCCUUGACUUUGGGAUAUCUUCAGGAAACUGGGGCUAAUACCGGAUAGGAGCUCCUGCUGCAUGGUGGGGGUUGGAAAGUUUCGGCGGUUGGGGAUGGACUCGCGGCUUAUCAGCUUGUUGGUGGGGUAGUGGCUUACCAAGGCUUUGACGGGUAGCCGGCCUGAGAGGGUGACCGGCCACAUUGGGACUGAGAUACGGCCCAGACUCCUACGGGAGGCAGCAGUGGGGAAUAUUGCACAAUGGGCGGAAGCCUGAUGCAGCAACGCUGCGUGCGGGAUGACGGCCUUCGGGUUGUAAACCGCUUUCGCCUGUGACGAAGCGUGAGUGACGGUAAUGGGUAAAGAAGCACCGGCUAACUACGUG
rnacentral:rRNA from 1 species